AGUGAACGCUGGCGGUAUGCCUAACACAUGCAAGUCGAACGGCAGCACAGUAAGAGCUUGCUCUUACGGGUGGCGAGUGGCGGACGGGUGAGGAAUACAUCGGAAUCUACUUUUUCGUGGGGGAUAACGUAGGGAAACUUACGCUAAUACCGCAUACGACCUACGGGUGAAAGCAGGGGAUCUUCGGACCUUUCGCGAUUGAAUGAGCCGAUGUCGGAUUAGCUAGUUGGCGGGGUAAAGGCCCACCAAGGCGACGAUCCGUAGCUGGUCUGAGAGGAUGAUCAGCCACACUGGAACUGAGACACGGUCCAGACUCCUACGGGAGGCAGCAGUGGGGAAUAUUGGACAAUGGGCGCAAGCCUGAUCCAGCCAUACCGCGUGGGUGAAGAAGGCCUUCGGGUUGUAAAGCCCUUUUGUUGGGAAAGAAAAGCAGCAGGUUAAUACCCCGCUGUUCUGACGGUGCCCAAAGAAUAAGCACCGGCUAACUUCGUG
rnacentral:rRNA from 1 species